rnacentral:rRNA from 1 species
UACGGGGGGGCAAGCGUUGUUCGGAAUUACUGGGCGUAAAGGGCUCGUAGGUGGCCAACUAAGUCAGACGUGAAAUCCCUCGGCUUAACCGGGGAACUGCGUCUGAUACUGGAUGGCUUGAGUUCGGGAGAGGGAUGCGGAAUUCCAGGUGUAGCGGUGAAAUGCGUAGAUAUCUGGAGGAACACCGGUGGCGAAGGCGGCAUCCUGGACCGACACUGACACUGAGGAGCGAAAGCCAGGGGAGACAA